rnacentral:tRNA from 1 species
GCCGGGGUGGCCGAGUGGACUAAAUGAGCUUAGAGCUCAGGUUAAGGCGCAGGCCUUGAGAGCCUGUGCCCCUAUUGGGGUGCGUGGGUUCGAAUCCCACCCCCGGCGCCA